rnacentral:antisense_RNA from 1 species
GGCGGCGAGCGCGCGCGGCAACCGCCAAACGCCCGCCUUUGUAGCCCCGGCCCCGCGUCCUUACCCUGCCGACGGCUGCUCGGCUCCGGCCCGCGGCGGCGGCCCCAGAGCCGAGGACCGGGGUGGGCUCGCGCUCUUCGUCACUGGAGAAGUCCGGGGGCCCCUUGCUGUUGGUGCCGGCGGGGAGCGGCGGCCGGUUGCGAGCCGUGAGGUGCUGCAGGACCGAGGGGUCUUCCAGGAACUCCGGCAUCUCGGGGAUCUGCGAAGCCCCCUCCCCACAGCCUUUGCCGCCGCCGCUCACGCCGGCGCGCUUGCUCCUGGCCGGGGACCGCGCUGCCGCCUCCGAGCCUCACGGCUCCUGCCCGGAAAGAGCGCUGCGGAGCGGAACAAAAACUCGCGGACACAAAGCCAAGCCAGACCCGGACACAAAAGACCCCAGAGCCGAACUACGAACCAACUGCGGCCAAGCUGGAAGCUCGCACCAACCCCAGCCCACACACUACAGGCAGAAGGCGAGCAGCCUGCUUCGCCCACGCCCCAAGAACGCGCGCCGCCAUUGGCGGGCGACGGGAGGAAGCGCGGCGGUGAUUGGCUAGACGGCUCGCGCGGGUUCCAUUAGCCGCCGCGCUGAGCGAGAGGAGACGCCGAUAAGGGACAGGUCGUACUGCUUUUGUGCGCCGUUUCCUCUCCCUCCCCCAGCUUGAGAAGCAGCUUUCGUCUCUGGGGUCGAUCGCCUAC